AUUUGGAUGAAACAGUGGAAGAAAGUGAGAAUUCAGUAGUGUCUCCUGCCAAUCGACCAACGGUUAUCGACUUCAGUGACAAAAUUAAGGUCUUGAAGGAGGAACAUGCUUUGCUAUUGAACCAAAUGAAAGAGAUCAAGAAUUCCUUUUUUGAAAAUGAAGUGUCUCGGGCUCUCCAGCUUUUGAUUGCUAAGGUUGGAACUCUGGAAAAAUAGUACUUCGAAGAGUCAUCAGAAAAGGAAGGAAUUAUACAAUGAAGUGAUUGAACUCAAGGGAAAUAUCAGUGACUUAUAAAAUAGUAAUAAACAAGAUGUUUGACCCCUAAACAUAUGGUAUGGAGCAGAUGUUUUGCUCCGAGAGCUUUUUCUUCAACU